rnacentral:pre_miRNA from 1 species
UAUAUACUUCCUCCGUUCCAAAUUACUCGUCACAGAAAUGGAUGUAUCUAGAACUAAAAUACAUCUAGAUACAUCCAUACCUGCGACAAGUAAUUCAGAACGGAGGGAGUAUAUA